rnacentral:sRNA from 1 species
AUCGGUUUGGAACACAGACCUUAUGAACGCAGUUUUAGUAAAGCAGUCCUCAGCUCAAGUGUUAUCCUUUGAUAUCCUUCUUCGUGAGCCUCCUCCUAAGUGCCAAGUAAGUUUCUCUCUGCGAUACAGGCCAUCUUUCGCCGCUUUAAGUGGCUCAUAAAUAAAGGAAAUAUCACAUGUCUGAUACAAUGACUGGUACAGUAAAAUGGUUUGAUGCUGGUAAAGGUUUUGGCUUUAUCACUCCUCAGGACGGCAGCAAAGAUGUAUUCGUACAUUUCUCUGCAAUCCAGAGCGAUGAUUACAAAACUCUCGACGAAGGCCAGACCGUGACCUUCACCAUCGAGAAGGGCGCUAAAGGCCCAUCAGCUGCAAACGUUAAAGCUAUCUAAUAUAUCGACCGCUGUAUCUGUGAUAACGGCCUAGCCUGAGCAGAUAAGCAACGAUAUAAGUGAUAAAACCCGCCUCGUGCGGGUUUUUUGUU